AGCUGGCUUUCAUCCAGCGACCCUCAGGCAAAUCACGUUUCUCUACAAUGUAGCCUGUAAUCAUACUUCCACCAUCAUAAGCAGAUGAUAGCCAAUGACUUUGCUACCUCCAUCACUAACUGGCUCAUUCCACUGUACUUCCAUGCUGUCCUUGGAGGAGAGCGUCACAAAUGGUGUGCCAGGAGGACCAGGAACUUUGAAUGGAUACUGGGCUAUAAUAGGCUCUGAAUUGAGGUUCAGACUGUACAGGUUCUCCUUUCCCAUACUGGUUUACAGCUGAGACCCGGAAGAGGUACUCAUUUCCUUGGAUAAGUUUGGUGGCCACAUGCCUGCAAGACUGAAUAUCUUCAGCAACCACUGUCCAUAAAAGUCGACUGGUUUCUCUCUUUUCAAGAACAUAGGACUUAAUUGGUGAGCCACCAUCCUCCAAUGGAGGUGUCCAUACCAACUCGACUUUGGAAGGGGCUUGCCAAGAAUGCUAAUGGCACUCAAAACAAUGGUAUCUCCUGCUUUAAUUGUCAGCCCAUCUUUUAUUGUGGGAUCAAGGACAAUGGUUGGUGCCUCUGCAAAGAAAAAAAAAAAUUAAUCGGCAAAGGAAGGAGGCUUAAUUUGCUUUUUUUUUUAUGGGCAUGAAAAAGUAAAAUAGACCUACCAUAUUCAUCCUGGCAAAUAAUGGUUCCUGUGCUUUCUGAUGGAGCACUGAUAGCACCUGCUGUAUUCUUCGCUCUAACUCUGAAUUCAUAUUUUCCACCUUCAACAAGAAAACAUACCUGGGCUUUUCUUUGUACAACGACUUACCAAUUGGAUCAAGUGCCACAACUGGCUCUGAUGGCAGGCUUGGCUUGCCUACUCCUGCUAAAUUGAUUGCCAUGACUCGGAAUUCGUACUCAAGACCUUCAGUCAAUCCUGUCACUUUGAAGUCUUUCAUCCUAAUAGGAGUCUUGUUAGCUCUCUUCCACAAAAGGCUGUUCCUUUCCUUGAACUCGAUAUGAUACCCUACAAAAAAAAGACCCAGUGAAUUUGUCAAUUCAGGUAGAAAAUACAAAUGCCAAUCUGGUUUUUAAGUACAUGUUUUUGCCCAAAUGGUUUAUAUGUGGACAUAAUAUGGAAUAAAUAGUCAUUCUUGCUAA